rnacentral:rRNA from 1 species
AACGCUGGCGGAACGCUUUACACACGCAAGUCGAACGGUAACGCGGAGAGAAGCUUGCUUCUCUCCGGCGACGAGUGGCGAACGGGUGAGUAAUACAUCGGAACGUGUCCGCUCGUGGGGGACAACCAGCCGAAAGGUUGGCUAAUACCGCAUGAGUUCUACGGAAGAAAGAGGGGGACCCGCAAGGGCCUCUCGCGAGCGGAGCGGCCGAUGACUGAUUAGCCUGUUGGUGAGGUAACGGCUCACCAAAGCAACGAUCAGUAGCUGGUCUGAGAGGACGACCAGCCACACUGGGACUGAGACACGGCCCAGACUCCUACGGGAGGCAGCAGUGGGGAAUUUUGGACAAUGGGCGCAAGCCUGAUCCAGCUAUUCCGCGUGUGGGAUGAAGGCCCUCGGGUUGUAAACCACUUUUGUAGAGAACGAAAAGACACCUUCGAAUAAAGGGUGUUGCUGACGGUACUCUAAGAAUAAGCACCGGCUAACUACGUGCCAGCAGCCGCGGUAAUACGUAGGGUGCGAGCGUUAAUCGGAAUUACUGGGCGUAAAGGGUGCGCAGGCGGUUGAGUAAGACAGAUGUGAAAUCCCCGAGCUUAACUCGGGAAUGGCAUAUGUGACUGCUCGACUAGAGUGUGUCAGAGGGAGGUGGAAUUCCACGUGUAGCAGUGAAAUGCGUAGAUAUGUGGAAGAACACCGAUGGCGAAGGCAGCCUCCUGGGACAUAACUGACGCUCAGGCACGAAAGCGUGGGGAGCAAACAGGAUUAGAUACCCUGGUAGUCCACGCCCUAAACGAUGUUAACUAGUUGUUGGGAAGUAAAAUUCUCAGUAACGUAGCCAACGCGAGAAGUUAACCGCCUGGGAAGUACGGUCGCAAGACUAAAACUCAAAGGAAUUGACGGGGACCCGCACAAGCGGUGGAUGAUGUGGAUUAAUUCGAUGCAACGCGAAAAACCUUACCUACCCUUGACAUGUCAGGAAGCUCUUGUAAUGAGAGCGUGCCCGCAAGGGAGCCUGAACACAGGUGCUGCAUGGCUGUCGUUAGCUCGUGUCGUGAGAUGUUGGGUUAAGUCCCGCAACGAGCGCAACCCUUGUCACUAGUUGCUACGAAAGGGCACUCUAGUGAGACUGCCGGUGACAAACCGGAGGAAGGUGGGGAUGACGUCAAGUCCUCAUGGCCCUUAUGGGUAGGGCUUCACACGUCAUACAAUGGUCGGAACAGAGGGCAGCGAAGUCGUGAGACGGAGCCAAUCCCAGAAAACCGAUCGUAGUCCGGAUUGCAGUCUGCAACUCGACUGCAUGAAGUCGGAAUCGCUAGUAAUCGCGGAUCAGCAUGCCGCGGUGAAUACGUUCCCGGGUCUUGUACACACCGCCCGUCAAACAAUGGGAGUGGUGUUUACCAGAAGUCGUUAGCCUAACCGCAAGGAGGGCGGCGACCACGGUGAGCACCGUGACU